rnacentral:rRNA from 1 species
GAGGAAUCUUGCGCAAUGGGCGAAAGCCUGACGCAGCGACGCCGCGUGGAGGAAGACGGCCUUCGGGUUGUAAACUCCUGUCAGAGGUGAAGAACCCCCGCAAGGGGUUGACGGUAACCUCAGAGGAAGCCCCGGCUAACUACGUGCCAGCAGCCGCGGUAAUACGUAGGGGGCAAACGUUACUCGGAAUUACUGGGCGUAAAGGGUGUGUAGGCGGCUGGGUAAGUCAAGGAUGAAAUUCCGGGGCUCAACUUCGGAAUCGUCUUUGAAACUGCCCGGCUUGAGGAUAGUAGAGGAGAAUGGAAUUCCCGGUGGAGCGGUGAAAUGCGUAGAUAUCGGGAGGAACACCCGAGGCGUAAGCGAUUCUCUAGGCUAUUCCUGACGCUGAAACACGAAAGCUAGGGGAGCGAACGG